rnacentral:rRNA from 1 species
GAUGAACGCUGGCGGCGUGCUUAACACAUGCAAGUCGAACGGGAUCCAUCAGGCUUUGCUUGGUGGUGAGAGUGGCGAACGGGUGAGUAAUGCGUGACCGACCUGCCCCAUACACCGGAAUAGCUCCUGGAAACGGGUGGUAAUGCCGGAUGCUCCGACUCCUCGCAUGGGGCGUCGGGAAAGAUUUCAUCGGUAUGGGAUGGGGUCGCGUUCUAUCAGGUAGUCGGCGGGGUAACGGCCCACCGAGCCUACGACGGGUAGCCGGCCUGAGAGGGCGACCGGCCACAUUGGGACUGAGAUACGGCCCAGACUCCUACGGGAGGCAGCAGUGGGGAAUAUUGCACAAUGGGCGCAAGCCUGAUGCAGCGACGCCGCGUGCGGGAUGACGGCCUUCGGGUUGUAAACCGCUUUUGAUCGGGAGCAAGCCUUCGGGUGAGUGUAC